CACGUAGUUAGCCGGAGCUUCCUCUUUGGGUACCGUCUCUAUUCUUCCCCAAAGACAGAGGUUUACAAUCCGAAGACCGUCCUCCCUCACGCGGCGUCGCUGCAUCAGGCUUUCGCCCAUUGUGCAAUAUCCCCCACUGCUGCCUCCCGUAGGAGUCUGGGCCGUGUCUCAGUCCCAAUGUGGCCGUUCAACCUCUCAGUCCGGCUACCGAUCGUUGACUAGGUGGGCCGUUACCCCGCCUACUAUCUAAUCGGCCGCGAGCCCAUCUUUCAGCAGAUUUCUCUUUUGGUUGUAAAUGGAUGCCCUUUUACAACGUUAUGCGGUAUUAGCAGUCGUUUCCAACUGUUAUCCCCUCUGAAAGGCAGGUUGCUCACGUGUACUCACCCGUCGCCACUAAACCAUUCCAAAGUAACUCUAAAAUGGUCCCGUUCGACUUGCAUGUGUUAGGCGCGCCGCCAGCGUUCGUCCUGAGCCAGGAUCAAACUCU
rnacentral:rRNA from 1 species